rnacentral:rRNA from 1 species
AGUGAACGCUGGCGGUAGGCCUAACACAUGCAAGUCGAACGGCAGCACAGUAAGAGCUUGCUCUUACGGGUGGCGAGUGGCGGACGGGUGAGGAAUACAUCGGAAUCUACUUUUUCGUGGGGGAUAACGUAGGGAAACUUACGCUAAUACCGCAUACGACCUACGGGUGAAAGCAGGGGAUCUUCGGACCUUGCGCGAUUGAAUGAGCCGAUGUCGGAUUAGCUAGUUGGCGGGGUAAAGGCCCACAAAGGCGACGAUCCGUAGCUGGUCUGAGAGGAUGAUCAGCCACACUGGAACUGAGACACGGUCCAGACCCCUACGGGAGGCAGCAGUGGGGAAUAUUGGACAAAGGGCGCAAGCCUGAUCCAGCCAUACCGCGUGGGUGAAGAAGGCCUUCGGGUUGUAAAGCCCUUUUGUUGGGAAAGAAAAGCAGCAGGUUAAUACCCCGCUGUUCUGACGGUACCCAAAGAAUAAGCACCGGCUAACUUCGUG